AUGGAACUUUCGAAACAUAUCUUGGCCAAGUGUGGUGGACUCCGCAAAGUAGUAGCUGCAAUAAGCGACUACUUGUAUCGUCGCAAUAAAUUUGGGAUGAAGAAUAUAAAUGAAAACUUUAUGGAAAUGUUGGAAACCAACGUCGAAUUUGACUGUUUAAGAGGUCUAUUUUCUUGGAUGCAGUCCUACUUUGAAGAUUGCAAAGAUUCACUCAAGCCAUGCAUCUUCUAUCUGCCAAUAUUCCAUACAAACCACAACAUUAGGCGGCGCCGUUUGCUGAGGCGGUGGAUUGCAGAGGGUUAUUCUAGAGAAACAUCUAGUGGUACCGCGGAAGAGAAUGGAGAAAGGUUGUUUUCUGAACUUGUUGACUUGAGCAUAAUCCAGCAGCCAUCAAGAAAGUCCAUGUGCCAAGUCAAUGGUUUCUUCCACGAAUACAUUAUGUCACUGCCAAUGGAAGAUAAUCUUUUCUUUUCUCCGGAGGGGCAUUGCAGUCUGAAUUCGCAAGUUGUCGGACAACACCUCACCAUAAGGAAUAGCUGGGAUAGAGACAUUAAUGUGUUUGAGAGCAUUGAUUUCUCAUCACUAAGGUCUUUGACGGUGUUCGGGGAGUGGAGGCCAUUCUUCAUAUCUACCAAUAUUAAUAUGAGACUAGUCCGGGUGCUGGAUCUGGAGGACACGUCAAAUGUAACAGAUGAUGACCUUAAGGAUAUCGGGAAGCUACUGCCUCGUCUCAAGUUCCUCUCCCUGCGAGGACGCAGAGGGAUUACCCAUUUGCCAAAAUCAUUGUCUUGCCUGAGGCAGCUUCAAACUCUGGAUGUCCGACACACCUCCAUAACCGCACUCCCACAAGCCAUCAUCAAGUUGCAAAAGCUACAGUACAUCCGUGCCGGCACAAGUAAACAACCAUGGAAUGAAGGUGGUAGAGUCACCAGCCUACCAACACUAGAUGAUGACAGAACAUCGACACAAGCAGAAGAAGAUGGUGCUAGCACCCGCUCAAGCCAAGAACCAGCAGCAGCGGCAGCGCCAACACAAACAGAAGAAGGUGAUGGCACCAGCUCAAGCCAGCCAGCAGGACCAGCUGCGGUCUGCACAUCAACACCGUCAAGGAGAAGGCCACAUACUUUGGUAUCUAGCUGGUUUUCCAGGUUGUGUUGUACAACACGACAACUUAAUAGUCGCGGUGUCGAGGUUCCUGCAGGAAUCGGGAAAUUGAGGGCCUUACAUACUCUUGGCGUUGUCAACGUCAGUGGUGUAGGCGGGAAGGCCAUAGUGAUGGAGCUCAAGACUCUUUCUCAAUUACGCAGGCUCGGGUUGUGCGGCAUCAACCGGGAAAACUUGAAGGAGUUGUGUUCGGCCAUCUCAGGUCACAGCCAUCUUGAGUACUUGUCAGUAGAAGUCGACAAGGAUAAGGAACAGGGUUUAUUCUGUUGUUUCGAUGGCACGAUCUCCCCGCCGCCAAAGAAGUUAAAGAGUCUUAAGUUGUACGGGUAUGCACACACAUUGCCAGACAGCUGGAUGAAGCAGCUUGACAACCUCGAAAGGCUGGAUCUUGAGAUCACCAUAUUCAAGCAACAAGACAUAGACGUCCUUGAUGAGUUGCCAAGGGGUAAAGCCUUACGUCGUCUAUGUGUCAAGCCGAUUCAAGAAGGCGAGCUCCAGCUUGCAACCAAGGGAGAUGCCUACCACUUCCUCUUACGGGAACUCGAGAUAGAUUGUACCUCCAAGUUACAGGUAACCUUUUUGCCAGGUAAAUGGUUGACCCACUCUGUUAAGGUGCUUAAGGUGCACUGCUCUAGUGGGUCGUCUAUGCGGCUUUCUGGGCUAGAGCAUCUGCGGCAUCUAAAGGAAGUGUGGCUCAAGGGUUCCUUGGGCGACCAACUCAAGCAAGGCUUGCAGCAUCAGCUCUCCAAGCAUUUGAACAAACCUGCCUUGAAGCUGGUGAAGUCCUGA
rnacentral:rRNA from 1 species